rnacentral:rRNA from 1 species
UACGUAGGUGGCAAGCGUUGUCCGGAUUUACUGGGCGUAAAGAGCGCGCAGGCGGUCGUUCAAGUCGCGUGUGAAAGCCCCCGGCUCAACUGGGGAGGUCACGCGAUACUGAUCGACUCGAAGGCAGGAGAGGGAAGUGGAAUUCCCGGUGUAGUGGUGAAAUGCGUAGAUAUCGGGAGGAACACCAGUGGCGAAGGCGACUUCCUGGCCUGGUUCUUGACGCUGAGGCG